rnacentral:lncRNA from 1 species
GCCCAGGUUUCAAGUUUUCAAGUUCCUCUCCGGUACUUCUUUGUUGUCAAAUUCUUCCGGAUAUAUCUAACUAGGACAAUCUGAACCUUGUCUGUUUGAAUAUCUUAAGGAAUUACUGUGAAAUAUUUCAGGUAUAAUGUGACUAUUGUAUUCUAGAGGGGGAGGGAAAGGAAGGCAGA